rnacentral:rRNA from 1 species
UGGGGAAUAUUGCACAAUGGGCGCAAGCCUGAUGCAGCCAUGCCGCGUGUGUGAAGAAGGCCUUCGGGUUGUAAAGCACUUUCAGCGAGGAGGAAGGUGGUGAACUUAAUACGUUCAUCAAUUGACGUUACUCGCAGAAGAAGCACCGGCUAACUCCGUGCCAGCAGCCGCGGUAAUACGGAGGGUGCAAGCGUUAAUCGGAAUUACUGGGCGUAAAGCGCACGCAGGCGGUUUGUUAAGUCAGAUGUGAAAUCCCCGGGCUCAACCUGGGAACUGCAUUUGAAACUGGCAAGCUAGAGUCUCGUAGAGGGGGGUAGAAUUCCAGGUGUAGCGGUGAAAUGCGUAGAGAUCUGGAGGAAUACCGGUGGCGAAGGCGGCCCCCUGGACGAAGACUGACGCUCAGGUGCGAAAAGCGUGGGGAGCAAACAGGAUUAGAUACCCCUGGUAGUCCACGCUGUAAAACGAUGUCGAUUUUGGAGGUUGUGCCCUUGAGGCGUGGCUUCCGGAGCUAACGCGUU